rnacentral:lncRNA from 1 species
GCUUUAACCAAAGAGACAUGAGGGGAAGUCUGCUUGAAAGGAGGUAGUAGUCCAGAAAAAGAUUUUGUUUUGCUUUAUGAAAAGGAAGCAGGAGGAGAAAGUAUUAUUUUUUGUCUUUAGAUUUACCAUGAGCAUGUGAUGCUUAGGCUACGGCAGCCAUCUUGGUACCCUGAGAAGAGUCACCCUAAGAGAAGAUGCCAGCAUUCUAGGAAAAGCAGGGCGGGGAUGGAGAAAAAAUCCAGGGCCUGGAUGACAUUGCUGAGCUGCUGAGUUAACCUAGAACUAUCCUAACUCAAGAUUUCUCUUUAUAAGAAUCUCUCUUGCAGGAGUAACACAGGCAUGUGGAGAAUUUCUCAGAGUAUUUCCGCAGCAACCAACUGGCAUGAAGAAUACUUUGCUGAAACAUGGGGUUCAAAAGCAGCCCACAGCUCUCUUUCAGACCUCUGAAGUCACACCCAGUGGUCUAGUCAACAUUUCCUCUUGCAGAGAUUGUAAAGGUUUCAAUCUUAACACCAUGUGACUAAUUCGGUCUCUAUGAUCAAAGCCUUAUAAGAAAGAAUGACUGGUUGACCCGACAUGGACCAAGUGACCGUUCUUGUUCCCAGUGUGUUGUGGGCUAAGAAGAGAUGGGCACAGAAUGAUGGGAACGCAGAGCGAAAGGGCCCAACUCUACCAGGAGGGGAAGAUAAAAACUCCUGAAGAAAUUAUACAAAAAUAGAAUACUUACAACAGAAUUCUCAACAUCAUUUUUCCCUGUUUGAAUCCAGCAAGUCAGCCAUUGGUCACUUAAGAGCACUAACCCCUCCCUGGUUUGAAGAUGUUCUUGACUUUAAAUACAAACAUCUGAUAUUCCAGCUUAGACUCCUCCACAAGAACUAGAGUGUCAUCCUAUUUUGGCUUCCAGCUCAGUCCCUCUGCUACAAGUCUUGACUCCAGAACUCUGUGGGAUAAUAAAAUACAAGAUCAUAGCUUGAAAA